AUACGUAGGGUGCAAGCGUUAAUCGGAAUUACUGGGCGUAAAGCGUGCGCAGGCGGUUUUGUAAGACAGAGGUGAAAUCCCCGGGCUCAACCUGGGAACUGCCUUUGUGACUGCAAGGCUAGAGUACGGCAGAGGGGGAUGGAAUUCCGCGUGGAGCAGUGAAAUGCGUAGAUAUGCGGAGGAACACCGAUGGCGAAGGCAAUCCCCUGGGCCUGUACUGACGCUCAUGCACGAAAGCGUGGGGAGCAAACAGGAUUAGAUACCCUGGUAGUCCACGCCCUAAACGAUGUCAACUGGUUGUUGGGUCUUCAUUGACUCAGUAACGAAGCUAACGCGGGAAGUUGACCGCCUGGGGAGUACGGCCGCAAGGUUGAAACUCAAAUGAAUUGACGGGG
rnacentral:rRNA from 1 species